UACGUAGGGAGCAAGCGUUAUCCGGAAUGAUUGGGCGUAAAGCGUCCGCAGGUGGCAAUGUAAGUCUGCUGUCAAAGCGUCUGGCUCAACCAGAUAAAGGCAGUGGAAACUACAUAGCUAGAGUAAGGUAGGGGUAGAGGGAAUUCCUGGUGUAGCGGUGAAAUGCGUAGAGAUCAGGAAGAACACCGGUGGCGAAAGCGCUCUGCUGGACCUUAACUGACGCUGAGGAGCGAAAGCGUGGGGAGCGAACAGG
rnacentral:rRNA from 1 species